rnacentral:rRNA from 1 species
AUUGUUCGCAAUGGGCGCAAGCCUGACGACGCAACGCCGCGUGGAGGACGAAGAUCUUCGGGUCGUAAACUCCUUUCGAUCGGGAAGAACGGCUUCCGGGUGAACAAUCCGGGAGAGUGACGGUACCGAGAGAAGAAGCCCCGGCUAACUCCGUGCCAGCAGCCGCGGUAAUACGAAGGGGGCUAGCGUUGUUCGGAAUUACUGGGCGUAAAGGGCGCGUAGGCGGUUUGAAUCGGCGGAUGUGAAAGGCCUGGGCUCAACCUGGGAACGGCAUCCGAUACGGUCAGACUUGAGUGUGGGAGAGGUUGGUGGAAUUCCCAGUGUAGAGGUGAAAUUCGUAGAUAUUGGGAAGAACACCGGUGGCGAAGGCGGCCAACUGGACCACAACUGACGCUGAGGCGCGAAAGCGUGAGGAGCAAAC